rnacentral:rRNA from 1 species
GACGAACGCUGGCGGCGUGCUUAACACAUGCAAGUCGAACGAAGAGCGAUGGAAGCUUGCUUCUAUCAAUCUUAGUGGCGAACGGGUGAGUAACACGUAAUCAACCUGCCCUUCAGAGGGGGACAACAGUUGGAAACGACUGCUAAUACCGCAUACGAUCUAAUCUCGGCAUCGAGGAAAGAUGAAAGGUGGCCUCUAUUUAUAAGCUAUCACUGAAGGAGGGGAUUGCGUCUGAUUAGCUAGUUGGAGGGGUAACGGCCCACCAAGGCGAUGAUCAGUAGCCGGUCUGAGAGGAUGAACGGCCACAUUGGGACUGAGACACGGCCCAGACUCCUACGGGAGGCAGCAGUGGGGAAUCUUCCGCAAUGGACGAAAGUCUGACGGAGCAACGCCGCGUGAGUGAUGACGGCCUUCGGGUUGUAAAGCUCUGUUAAUCGGGACGAAAGGCCUUCUUGCGAACAGUUAGAAGGAUUGACGGUACCGGAAUAGAAAGCCACGGCUAACUACGUG